rnacentral:rRNA from 1 species
AGGGCGCAGGGCGAAUGCCUUGGCACUGGGAGCCGAUGAAGGACGUGGUUAACUGCGAUAAGCUGCGGGGAGUCGUAAGCAGACAUUAUAUCCGCAGAUUUCCGAAUGGGGCAACCCGGCUGAUUGCAGAUCAGUCAACAUAUACUGAAUAAAAUAGGUAUAUGUGGGGAACCGCCUGAACUGAAACAUCUAAGUAGGGCGAGGAAGAGAAAUCAAACGAGAUUCCGCUAGUAGUGGCGAGCGAACGUGGAAGAGGCCAAACCGAGAGUAGAAAUACCUUCGGGGUUCGGACAGCGAUAUGUAGGCAAAAGGUUAGUCGAAGUGUGUGGGAAAGCACAUCAAAGAGGGUGAUAAUCCCGUAGACGAAAACCGAUUGUCGCUAGCUGUAUCCAGAGUACCGCCGGACACGUGAAACCCGGUGGGAACAUGGGGGGACCACCCUCCAAGCCUAAAUACUACCCAGUGACCGAUAGAGUAAUAGUACUGUGAAGGAAAGGUGAAAAGGACCCCGGGAGGGGAGUGAAAAAGAACCUGAAACCCUGUGCCUACAAGCACCGAGAGCACGUCAAAGUGUGAUCGGGUACCUAUUGUAGAAUGGUCCGGCGAGUGUGUGUAACCAGCAAGGUUAAGAGCUUAAGGCUCGGAGCCGCAGCGAAAGCGAGUCUGAACAGGGCGUAUGAAGUUGGUUGUACACGACCCGAAACCGGGUGACCUACCCAUGUCCAGGAUGAAGUGGAGGUAAAACUCCAUGGAGGUCCGAACACACGUCCGUUGAAAUGGCCGGUGAUGAGGUGUGGGUAGCGGAGAAAUUCCAAUCGAACCCGGAUAUAGCUGGUUCUCUCCGAAAUAGCUUUAGGGCUAGCGUUGUCUUAGAUUACCGGGGGUAAAGCACUGAACGGGCUAGGGGCUGAAAAGUUACUGAACCCUAUCAAACUAAGAAUACCGGAUAAUCGAUGGACGGCAGUCAGACUAUGAGAGAUAAGUUCCAUGGUCAAAAGGGAAAGAGCCCAGACCCACAGCUAAGGUCCCAAAGUACAGUUAAGUGGAAAAGGAUGUGGAAUUGCACAGACAACCAGGAUGUUGGCUUAGAAGCAGCCACUCAUUAAAAGAGUGCGUAAUAGCUCACUGGUCGAGUGACUCUGCGCCGAAAAUUCAACGGGGCUAAAUUGUACACCGAAGCUUGGGAAGUUAGAUGUUAGACGGUAGAGAUUAGAAAGUAGAUGUUUGUAUGAGCGGAUAUAAAGAAUUGAAGGUAUAUAAAAGGUCAUAUAAAGCGGCGAAAGCAAUAUAUGAAAUGACCGUAGGAUUUCCAAAUGAGGAAAGGUACGGAAUAACCAAUCAAUUAAGACGUGCGGCAUUAAGCAUACCGUUAAAUAUAGCGGAAGGAUAUGCUAAGAGAGAAAGUCAGGAGGAAUUUAAAAGAUUUCUGAUGAUGGCACUCGGUUCUUCAAAUGAAGUACUGGUGCUGAUAGACUUUUCAAAAGACGUAGGUUAUAUAUCCGACGAAAAACACAGGAAAGCGUUUGCAGAGUAUGAGGAGAUAGCAAGUAUGCUAAAUUCAUUUAUACAAAGUGUAAAGACAAAGGUCUAAAAUCUAAUAUCUAGCGUCUAACAUCUAACUUGGUAGGAGAGCGUUCUCUGCGGGGUGAAGCAUGAGCGGAAGCGCGUGUGGACUUCAGAGAAGUGAGAAUGCCGGAAUGAGUAGCGAGAAUUAUGUGAGAAUCAUAAUGGCCGAAAGCCUCAGGUUUUAGAAGGAAGGUUCGUCCGCUUCUAGUUAGCCGGGAGCUAAGGCGAGGCCGAAAGGCGUAGCCGAUGCACAUACGGUAGACAAUCCGUAGCUGCCAAAAGAUUUAAAUUAGGGGACACUCUGAAAGGGUACAUCCCGGGCGUUGGUUGACCCGGGCGUAAGGGAGCGAAUUAUUCGCGAAGUGUGCUUGGACGGAGGCGAGAAAAGCCUAAUGUAUAUCUGCGGCACCCGUACCGCAAACCGACACAGGUAGGUAGGAGGAGAACUCUAAGGCCAACGGGAGAAGAGUUGUUAAGGAACUCGGCAAAUUGACCCCGUAACUUCGGGAAAAGGGGUGCUCAUAGCAAUAUGAGCCGCAGUGAAUAGGCCCAGGCAACUGUUUAUCAAAAACACAGGUCUCUGCUAAAUCGAAAGAUGAAGUAUAGGGGCUGACGCCUGCCCGGUGCUGGAAGGUUAAGAGGAGGAGUGCAAGCCCCGAAUCGAAGCCCCAGUAAACGGCGGCCGUAACUAUAACGGUCCUAAGGUAGCGAAAUUCCUUGUCGGGUAAGUUCCGACCCGCACGAAUGGCGUAAUGAUCUGGGCACUGUCUCAACAGCUCACCCGGCGAAAUUGUAGUACCGGUGAAGAUGCCGGUUACCCGCGACAAGACGGAAAGACCCCAUGGAGCUUUACUGUAACCUGAUAUUGGGUUUCGGUAUUUUAUGUACAGGAUAGGUGGGAGACUAUGAAACAAGGGCGCCAGCCUUUGCGGAGUCAACCUUGGGAUACCACUCUUAAAAUACUGGAAUUCUAACCUGCGGCCGUGAAUCCGGUCGGGGGACAUUGUCAGGCGGGCAGUUUGACUGGGGCGGUCGCCUCCGAAAGAGUAACGGAGGCGCUCAAAGGUUCGCUCAGCACGGACGGAAACCGUGCUUUUGAGUGUAAACGCAUAAGCGAGCCUAACUGCGAGACUGACGGGUCGAGCAGUAACGAAAGUUGGAGUUAGUGAUCCGGCGGUAUGUGAGUGGAAAUGCCGUCGCUCAACGGAUAAAAGCUACCCUGGGGAUAACAGGCUGAUCUCCCCCAAGAGUCCACAUCGACGGGGAGGUUUGGCACCUCGAUGUCGGCUCAUCACAUCCUGGGGCUGUAUUCGGUCCCAAGGGUUCGGCUGUUCGCCGAUUAAAG